AAGUCGUAACAAGGUUUCCGUAGGUGAACCUGCGGAAGGAUCAUUAACACGUAUCCAACGUUAGAACUUUAAGCCUACUCUUGCAGCCCAUGAGGAACAGCAAUCCCGGUAAAUCAUUGCCAAACAGUUUUGAUUCGGGACCUCUGUCCAAAAGGAGUUGCAAUUGAGUGGUAUGCAGUGGCAUGGCUUGUGUCACUGACUGUGUAAGGAUAACGCCUCACGGUUGCCAGAGGUCGAUCACCGACCGGCAGACAUGUCACAGGGCCACCGCGCCCCUUAAUCACUCCACUAGAAAAUGCCCCGCCUAGUGGUAACGCGCUAGGGAAAAAAAACCGAACAACUGUUAACAAUGGAUAUCUUGGUUCUC
rnacentral:misc_RNA from 1 species